AACAGAGUUGCAACAAAUUCAACAUCCAAAAUCGACCCUUCAAUCCAACAAAUUCGCCCAAAAAACACCCACAAAUUCGCUCAAAAAACUGCAAUUCCCCAGCAAAUUCAACAUCCAAAAUCGCAAUCAAGUUCAACACCCAUAAUCGGCAGCAAAUCCGAGCAAUUUCGAGCAAAAAUUUAGACCAAAAACCCUAAUUAUUUUGAAUCCUUAAACCCCAGAAAAAUUGAUUAUUUUCGACCAAAAAUCCCCCAUUUCGAGCAAAAAAUGUACUCAAUUCCAUACGAAUUCGAACCCUAGAAACCCCAAAAAAUUCAAUUAAAAAUCCUGCUGAAAAAAUUCGAGCAAUAACUGAAAUUUUUGAGUGGAAAAAUCGCUGAAUUUUCGCCCCCAAAUACCCGAGGAAGUUCAAGCAAAUUACAGAAGUGUUGAAUUUUUGAAUUUUCGAGUGGAAAAAUUGCUUAAUUUCGCCCCCAAAAAUCGAUUUUGGCUCGACAUUGUUGAAUUUUUGAAAUCAAGUUCACCUAUGGGACUGUUUUCCGUGAGCCAAUCUUGUGUAAGAACAUUCCUAGGAUUGUUUCUGACAUGCUUUUGGUGAUCAAUAUCGAGCCACUGAUACACUCAUCCCAGGUCUUGGAAAGCUUAAAUUGCUAUUCGUCCCAGAGGAUGGAAACUGGAAAGGAU